CCUACGGGAGGCAGCAGUGAGGAAUAUUGGUCAAUGGCCGGAAGGCUGAACCAGCCAAGCCGCGUGAAGGACGAAGGUGCCAAGCAUUGUACACUUCUUUUGUCAAGGGACAAAAUCAGGCUCGAGAGCCUGACCGAGGGUACUUGAAGAAAAAGCAUCGGCUCACUCCGUGCCAGCAGCCGCGGUAAUACGGAGGAUGCGAGCGUUAUCCGGAUUUAUUGGGUUUAAAGGGUGCGUAGGCGGGCUGUUAAGUCAGCGGUAAAAGCCCGGGGUGCAACCCCGGCGAGCCGUUGAAACUGGCUGUCUGGAGAUGUCGAGAGGUAUGUGGAAGGCGCAGUGUAGCGGUGAAAUGCUUAGAUAUGGCGCAGAACGCCGAUUGCGAAGGCAGCAUACCGGCGGCGAUCGGACGCUGAGGCACGAAAGCGUGGGUAGCGAACAGGAUUAGACACCCGAGUAGUC
rnacentral:rRNA from 1 species